AUGAUUUAUCGGCGAAGAUUCCACAUCAAGAACCGCAUGGGACAACUGUUGGGGAAGACCUAUUUCCAAUUAUUCGAUUGACAUGGUCUAUGACGAACUAGUCGAACCAGAAGUUUUAUGAAAAAACACCUGCAGACGACGACGUUUUCGACCGUGCUUAAUUUCUAUCUUUCUCCUUAGCUCGAAGUUCCACGGUCUACAAACCCUAGUUUUUUGAAUUUCUGGAACUCAUUUGAUCAGAAGGUUUAUGUGGAGAUACGGAGCAUGUCUUUAAUUAGUUCACAUAUCAGUUCAUAAUCCUGGCUGAAUAAUCACUUGGGCGAUUAUUGAGAUAAAGUGCAGCUCCUUUUUGAACCAAGUCUUAUCUCGGUGGUCAAGUGAAGUUAAGUUUGAAAAUGCACAAAAAUUAUUGACUGGGUGUUACCUGCAUCUGUCUAUACUUUUGGAGAGUCCUUUUGGAGAUUGGUUUGAGUUGGAAUGGUUAGCUCUGGUAAAAUUUUUUAGUUGGAAGUACCAUGCUGUGAAGGUGUCGCGGCUGUAUAAAUUGGGUAGACAGAAGGAAAAUGCUAAUUUAUUCAAAGAAACUUCAUAUUUUUUGAGUCCCACCUCUUUCUUGCUAUAUUUAGUUGAAGUUUACUGGGAUGUUAAGGUGUAAAGGGGGUGUUAAUUGUUGAUAUAAGGAGAAAUUAUGGAACAGGUCUCAGGAAAAAAGUUUCCUCUCGAUGCUAAAGAUUAUGAGUUAUUUGAGGAAGUUGGAGAAGGCGUCAGCGCAACUGUUUACAGAGCUCUCUGCAUUCCUCUUAAUGAGAUAGUUGCAAUCAAAGUUCUUGAUCUCGAGAAGUGCAACAGUGACCUGGAUGAUAUCCGCCGAGAGGUACAGACAAUGAUUUUGAUUGACCAUCCGAAUUUAGUGCGUGCUCACUGUUCCUUCCCUACUGGCCAUAACCUUUGGGUUGUAAUGCCGUACAUGGCUGGGGGAUCUUGCCUUCAUAUAAUGAAAUCAUCUUUUUCGGACGGUUUUGAGGAGCCUGUUAUUGCUACAUUAUUACGCGAGGUCCUCAAAGCUCUCGUGUAUCUUCAUUUUCAUGGACACAUUCAUAGAGAUGUGAAGGCUGGGAAUAUACUGAUUGAUUCUGAUGGUGCCGUUAAAUUAGCAGACUUUGGAGUAUCUGCAUGCAUGUUUGACACUGGUGAUCGCCAGCGUUCUAGAAAUACAUUUGUUGGAACUCCAUGCUGGAUGGCUCCUGAAGUUAUGCAGCAAUUGCAUGGAUAUGAUUUUAAAGCAGAUAUCUGGUCAUUUGGAAUAACAGCUCUUGAACUUGCUCAUGGUCAUGCACCAUUCUCUAAGUAUCCACCUAUGAAGGUUCUUCUGAUGACACUGCAAAAUGCACCACCAGGGCUAGACUAUGAGAGAGACAAACGUUUUUCGAAGUCUUUCAAAGAACUAGUUGCUGCUUGCUUGGUGAAAGAUCCAAAGAAGCGUCCCACUUCAGAAAAGCUUUUAAAGCACCAUUUCUUCAAACAUGCACGCUCCACUGAUUAUUUAGCCCGUACCAUCCUUGAUGGCUUGCCCCCUCUAGGUGAACGGUUUAGGACGCUCAAGGCAAAAGAAGCAGAUCUUCUUGUUCAAAAUAAGGCAUUGUAUGAGGACAAGGAUCAGUUAUCUCAGCAAGAGUACAUCCGAGGAAUCAGUGCCUGGAAUUUCAAUCUGGAGGAUCUGAAGAAUCAAGCUGCCCUUAUUCAGGAUGACGCUAUUUCAAAUUCAGAAGAUUCAAGUGUGAGUGGGAAGCACAGGGACGGGCAAUAUGACGCUGGUACUCUUGAGGGGGCGUCCCCUGGUCGGAGCAAUCAUUCAAAUGCUGCCCAGCAGCUGGAGGAUGGACGCAAUGACAUUCAUGUUCUGGAGAAUUCACUUGCUGCAUUUCCUAUAAAACCUCUUCAGGCGCUCAAAGGUUGUUUUGAUGUAUUUGAGGAUGACGUGGAUGCUGGUCGUCGAAAUUGGAAAAAUUCUGUUCGCCCAGACACUGAACAGCAGCGUCAUCUACAAGCAUCAGCAAAAACUGAGCAUCAAGAAACAGGAAGAGACGAUGGUGGAAGUACUGGUCAAAGUGGCUCCUUGCCACCACCUGCUAUUUCAGGACAUAAAUUUUUUUCAAGCGGUUCACUGUUACAGGAUAAUGUUCAAUCUCCUAAAAAAAUUGUAGGUGAUGGAGACAGGGAACAUCUGCGACCAAGAUAUCCAAGUGAGCGGAGUUACAGCGGUCCAAUACAGUUUCGUCCAAAGAAAGAUUUCAGUACUUCUACAGCUGGGGAAGAUGUAUCUGAAGGUGCUGUAGUCCAACGUAGGGGACGUUUUAAAGUCACUUCAGCAGAUCUGAGCCCCAAGGGUUCCUCGAACUGUUUCUUUAAUACAAAUACUGGAGGUUCCACAAGCCCGAUGAACCCAAUCCUUGAGGCUGCUUCAGUUCUUCCAUCGUUGCAAUGUAUCCUGCAGCAGAACACUAUGCAAAGAGAAGAGAUAAUUAAAUUGAUCAAGUUUGUGGAGCAAACCUCUGGAAAGCGUACGUGUUGAUAAUAGCGAAUUUGCUGAAGUGCAGAAUGUACAACUCGCAUUUUCCUAUCCAACCAAUGAGCAAACUAGCAAUCCUAAUGAGUUCUCUGAGGCAGGAGUAAAUGAUGUUGCGCAG